GCAGGUUAGAAGAUGGUGCCGCCGAACCGGCCUCCGAAGCCGAGGGUCGCAGGUUCGAUUCCUGCCCUCCUGCA
rnacentral:tRNA from 1 species